rnacentral:SRP_RNA from 1 species
GCCGGGCAUGGUGGCUCAUGCUUGUAAUCCUAGCACUUUGGGAGGCUGAGGUGGGUGGAUUGCUUGAGGCCAGGAGUUCAAGACCAGCCUGGCCAACAUAGCAAAACCCCGUCUCUA